rnacentral:rRNA from 1 species
UACAGAGGGGGCAAGCGUUAUUCGGAAUUAUUGGGCGUAAAGGGCGCGUAGGCGGCCAUUCAAGUGACGGGUGAAAGCCCUCGGCUUAACCGAGGAACUGCCUGUCAGACUGGAUGGCUCGAGACCGGGAGAGGUGAGUGGAAUUCCCAGUGUAGCGGUGAAAUGCGUAGAUAUCGGGAGGAACACCUGCGGUGUAGACGGCUUACUGGACCAUAACUGACGCUGAGGCACGAAAGCGUGGGUAGCAAACAGG